CUUCUUUGAAUGUUUGCCAAAGUUCAUUGGUGUUACUUGUAUUGUAUAUAGUUUUAAUCUUUCCUUCUAGUACUUGUAUGUCUGAUUUAAUGUUUUCCCAGUUUGCUUUUAUGAAUUGGCAAAUUUGUCUUGCUGGUUUUUUGUUCCUUUUCAGUGAUAUUGAACAUUCAGUGAAUACGAUGUCAUGAUCUGCAUUACCAAUAGGUGGCAUUAGUUCCAGUUUAUUUUUUAUGUUUGGUGCAUUUGUUAAGAUAAGAUCGAGUAUUCUUUCACCUCUUGUUGGUUUGUCUACUAUUUGCUCCAGGGAGUGGUCAUUUAUUAUGUCAAUUGAAAUUUGGUGUUGUUUGUUAUCUGGCUUUCCAGGAAUUACUGAUGGUAUUUGCCAGUCUAUAUGACCAAGGUUGAAAUCCCCCCCUAAGAUUAUAGUAGCUUUUGA
rnacentral:lncRNA from 1 species